GAUGUCCUGUCCCUUUCAACCCUAAUUUUGUAUGAUUAAUCAAAGGAAUCCCCAAAAUUGCAAUUUUGGGUUCUUACCCAGAAUAACUAAUAAUAUUUGGAACAUCAGGAACAUGUAACAUGCGGCAAGUUAAAGCCAGUGAUCUGAGGGCAUUGUCAACACUGUCUCUGCAGUAACAAGGAAGUCAUUAAUAUAUGCUCAGAACAUUACAGGAAGAGGACCAUGCCCCACACUGCAAAGGAAGGCAACCUUCUAACCCAGUUAUGCCAAUAUGAUGUAGGGGAAAAUGUCCUUUCUUAGUCAAUAUUAGUGAUCACUAUCAGGAAAAGAGCAAGAUCUUCUAGCCAGGAACCUUGGAGUCUCUAGUACUGGCAGGAGCAUCAGCACAUCUCAUUCAAAUUCCCCAGUCUAAGCUGUUAUUUAGCUGUUACUCAGUGUCCACAGAGGAAGACAGAACCCCCCUCCCUGUAGAAACCACUCUCAUUCAUGAGGAAAAAACAAUCCUUCCUGGCCUCUUAUGUGUGACCAGUAAAUCCCUGGAUAUGGGAUUCUUUCACGUUACAGAGCUAUCUUUGUACCCUACUCUGAGGGCUACAAUUACAUGAUUUCAUGCCCUGCACACCGGGUGUGUCCACACAAGAUGCUAAGUCACUGUAGUGACAAGCUAGCGAUGUAGCAUUGGUGGGUACAAAGUGUGAUGCUGCUGGUACUGCCCAGUAGCUUGCUGCUGCACAGUAGGGUCGGAAACGACCUGUGUGGCACCGGGACUGUGCAAUACCAGCAGUUUCUGUGCAGUCAGGUGCUCAUGCAGAUGUGUCUACUGAUUGGUGAGCCACAGUUCCCUGCCAUAUUAUAUGGAUUCUCUUCCAUAAACUUACCGAGUUCAGUUUAAAGAGAUUCAGAUUCCUUGUUCUUACCACUUUGUUUGGAAGGCUGUUCCAAAACUCAUCUGAUAGAAAUUUUCUAAUUUCCAAGCUAAAAUUGUUUGUAGCCAUUGUAUAUUAUGCCAGUGUUGUUUUUAUGGCCUAAAAUGCACUUUCCUUCACAGUCACCCUGCAUAUGUACUUCUAUACAGUGAUGGUAUUCUCUCUGUCUCCAUUUUUAAGCCAAACAAGACAAGAUUCUUUAAUCUUCUUUCAUGAGAAAAGGUCUCCAUUUCCUUAACCAGAGGCUUUGAUUCUUCAUGUGGGAGGAAACUUACACGUCCAUGGAGUCCCACUGAAGCUGAUGGCAUUUCCUGGAGGCACAGGGGACUGUAGAUGGACUCCAAUGGCAAAAUCAAGGCUUUAAAAUGUUCGCAUUUCCAGCUUUUGCCUGUAAGCAGGUGCCUGUGUGAAGAUGGGGGAAGAAAAACAUCCAAACAGUUCACGCUUUAAGAUGGUGCAAUCUGAGAAUCAGCACAUCGGGCCUCAGAAAACAGCUUGGAGGGCCGCAUGUUGGACAAGCCUGAAGUCUGAGGAAUGCUGCUAACGGUCUGCUCAGGAGUUUCAGAAUUACACACAAAGUAAUGCUGUAGAAGUCAGUGGAAUGGUGUAUGAAUUCUUUUAUAUUACAGUGCCAGGAUGGAAUAGGAUGAGAUGGCAAUCACCUCACGCAAAGAGGUAAGGCGCUGUUCUCAGCCAGGAUGGCUGAUCGGCUGGACAGGGCUUUAAACUGACUUUGCUGUGGGACAAGGAAACUCCAAGUGGAGCAUGCCUGGGGACUGGCACACAAGAAAGCUCCCUUGUGGAGGACACUAGCACAACUGUUUCUAAAAAUGCUAACCAAACAGUUUUCCCAAAGCAUCUCAGGAAAACAAGGGUGUCAGUUGAGGGCCUCAGCUGCCUGUACACCAAUUCCAGGAGCAUGGGGAAUAAGUAGGAGGAGCUAGCCCUCCUGCUCUCUAGUGGGCAAUAUGAUCUGGUAGAAAUCAUGGAGACCUGUUGGGACUCUUUGCAUGACUGGAGGAUAGCCAUAGCGUGCUACAGCCUGCACAGAAGGGACAGAGUAGGGAGAAAAGGCAGAGGGGUAGCUCCCUAUGCGAGACAGCUGUACACCUCUCUGGAGGCGGACACUGGAGGACUCUCUGGAGGCUCUAAAGAUAAGUAGGUUGAAACCCUCUAGGUCAAGCUGGGGGGAGGGGGGGGAAGAGGCGAGAGAGACCUAACUGUGGACAUUUACUACACCUAACUGUGGACAUUCACUACAGGCCACUGAACCAAGGGGAGGAGCUGGAUCUGGAGUUCUCUUGAGAACUGCAAGUGCAAGGGACUUGGUAGUCAUGGGUGACUUCAAUUACCCAGACUGGGAGGAACACUUGGCAAGGUCAGAUCAUUCACACAGUUUUCUGACUGCAAUCAAGAAGCUCUUUCUGACCCAGGAAGUGCAAGGGCCAACUAGCUGCAGCUUUCUCUUGGUCCUGGGAGAUGAUCUGGUGUGUGGCUUGAACAUUGAGGGUAACCUGGGUGACAGCGACCAUGAAGUUAUCAGGUCCACCAUCCACUGCAAGGUCAACAAAUCAACCAGCAGGACUGAAGUUCUGGACUUCAAGAAUGGUGACUUUGACAGGUUCAGAACAUAAGUAGGGGAGGUGAUGAGGGACUAGGAAGAGAGGGCAAAUGGGGUGCAUGAAGAGUGGUCUUUGCUCAAGGACAUGAUCCUCAAAGCACAAAAGAACACCAGUCCUGCAAAGAAGAAAGGUAGCAGGGGGGCUGGGAAGCCCUCCUGGCUUAAUAGGGGCAUUGUGGUCCUCUUAAAAAGAGAAAAAAGAGGUAUAUACACAGUGGAAGCUAGGGAUGGUCCUGAAGGAGGACUAUAAUUUAGUGGCCAUCACUUGUAGGGAAAUGAUCAGGAAAGCCAAGGCAGUGACUGAGUUUAGGUUAGCCAUGGGAGACAAGGACAAUAAAAAGUCCUUCUUUAGGAAUGGAGGCAGUAGAAGGAAAACAAAUGGAGGUGUGGGACCCCUGCUUAACACCUUGGGACAGCUGGUAACUGACAUUUAAGAAAAACUGAACUCCUGAAUGCCCGCUUUGCUUUGGUAUUUCACCGGAGCAUGGGGAAAGUCAAGUGAGACAAGGCUCAUAGGGGGGCCUUGUUGAGGGUGUUGUCCAGAGGGGGAUCACCGGCAGGGCCUCUGGGGGGAUAGGUGGUGUGGCAUGGUGCUGGUCCAGAAGGAGAGGGCAUCCCACUGGGUCUGUCUUCACUGCCCCUUUUUAUAGGGGCAGACCUUGUGUGACCCUAGUGACAGGAGGCUUGCCCAGGCAAGGAUCAGCCCCUGGCAUACUGAGCAUGUGUGCUCCAUGCAGGGAUGUGCAGUUUCGGGUGUUUGUAAUGGUGGGGUACAAUGGUAGACUUGCUGGUUCUGCAAGGUCUUUUGUCUUUCAAAUGCUGGGUUCUUGUCUCUGUUCCUAGGUGAGGUCCGUGAUUCCUGGAUGAAUCAAUGUGAGGUAAUGGCUCAGUCAUUACAGGCCAUUCAGUAGAGGCCUGCUACCAUUGUAUUUCAAUCAUUCCCAAUCAUUCUCAUUCAUCCAGGAACCAAUUUACAUGGGAGGGGUACCUGACCCAUACAGUUGCAACAUGGGAUGCCCAGGCAGAGGACUGAAGAUGGAGGCUUGACAUAUAAAAUGGAAACUUGACAUGACUUUGGUUCACUUACAGACACUGGCCUAAACCAUACAAUAUCCAUAUGAAACAAUAAAAAUCAAUACGAAAAUGAUAAUAAUAUAAUAUACAACAGUGGAUAUCCAAAACCAAAAACUUGCUACCAAAAUAAAAAUGUUAAAGCUUAUCCUAAGUCUGAUCUCACUUAUACUUAUCUAUAGGGAAUAGAGAGGGAGAGAAAAAGUCAGAAAUGGUUGGGGAAGGGGAGGGACUGCAUUUUGAAAGAAAGAAAGAAAGAAAAACUGGGGGUUUUGCUACAGCAUUAACAUGAGCCAACAGUGCAAUGUGGUGGUCAGCAGGGCAAACAACACACUGGCAUGCAUCAACCGAUGCAUCUCGUGUAAAACCUUGGAAGUGAUACUCCUGCUGUAUUCAGCAUUCGUGAGACUGCAGCUGGAGUACUGCAUCCAGUUCUGGGUGCUGCACUGUAAUAAGGACAUGGAAAAACUUGAGCGAGUCCAGAGAAGAGCCACCCGUAUGAUCAGGGACUCGCAAGACAAGCCAUAUAAGGAAAGGCUGAGGGACCUGGGCCUCUCUAGCCUAAAGAAGAAAAGGUUGAGAGGGGACUUGAUAGUGGCUUACUGCUAUAUCAGAGGAGUGCAUCAGGAGCUUAGUGAACAACUGUUCACUAGGGUACUCCUGGGGAAGACCAGGACCAAUGGAUAUAUAAAUUCCUGGAAGGCUGCUUCAGGCUUAAUACCAGGAAAAACUCCUUCACAGUCAGGGUGACCAGACUGUGGAAUAAACUCCCUCCAGAGGUGGUGCAGUCACUUACCCUGGAGGUUUUCAAGAGGAGACUGGACAGUCACCUCACUGGGGCCACUUGACCCCAUUUGUCUUCCUGCCUAGAGUGGUGGGGGGAGGAAGGGCUGGACUCGAUGAUCUGCAAGGUCCCUUUCAGCCCCUAACAAUGUAUGAAUCUAUGAAUUCAUUUAGUACUACACAGGCCUGAAAAUGUCCUCUUUUGAGAACUUUAAAACCCCAACUUAAUAGAACUGUGCAAGACCAAAGUGGGCUGAAGUCAAGCCUGGAGUUCUGAUGGGGAGCAUUUUGGUGGGCUCACUGUGACAGUGAGGAACUGUGGUAGAACACAGAAUAUGAGAUAAAACUGUGAGAGUCACUCCAAAGAUUUACAGUAUAAAAUCCUUGGACAUGUUUUAAAUGUGAAUGAAAUGCCAUUUUACAAAGUGGCAUUGCAAACUUUUUAGGCCAGAUAAUACAGAGUAGUGGAAGUGGAUAUAUAAAUGAAAACAGAUACUGUAUGUGUGAUGAAUAAAUGUCCUGGUGUAUAUAUUCUGCUUAAUUACACUUACACUGCUGCUGUUUUCCUUUUCAUUUUAUUCUAUACUGAUUACCUGUACAUCAGCAAAUUUCCUUUCCCCCUCAAAAGCUCGACAUUAAGAAAAAUCUUUCUUCUUAGACUCUAGACUACCACUCUGGCUAGCUCUUCCUUUUAAAAAAUAGGAAAAUUAUAUUAUUUGCUUAUGUUAGCAUUAUUUUAGGUGCAAUGUUUUCAUUUACAAAAAAUGUCCUACAUUUCUGUAAGUGUCUUGUGAUGGUUGGAUUGUUAAAGUAAUCAUCUUCUUUUCAAAUGAAUGGUAAGCUAAUGACUAGAGAUGUGUUCAGUAACCCACAAAUAAUUCCUGUACCUACUCUCUACUAAAAAGAAGAGGGCAACUUCUUCUGUGAAUGACCCAGAAGUAAUUGCUAGACCACAAAUUCAUGUAAGAAAGUGAAAAAGUUAAUGUUGUCCUUGAAUAGAUCCAACCCAGGCACAAGCCUUCUUGGAAUAUGGAAUGUAUUCCCAUCUCAGUGCGCAGGAAAUUCAUAUAAAGCAGUAGUCACAAUCUGAAAAUAACUUUCUUAAACCCUAUACUGAAUUGUCUUUCACUUUUGGCUGAAACAGUUGUGUAUUGUCAUGCAUACAGUUGUUUACUGUCAUGCACACAUAACUAUGAGUUUCACCCCAAAGAAGAGAAUUUUAUUGGCAUCUGCUGCAGUUUGUUUGUGUCUGUUGAUAUAUGUAACAUUUUGAAACUGCUAUAUUAAUAUAAGAUGCUAUCAUUCUGUAGGGUGUUGUUACAGCUUACCUUUAAAUCACUGUAAAGGCACUUGAAGGGCGCAGACAGAAGUGAUAAUUUUUGCCUGAUCUGGCCACAGGAAGCAGGUUAUAGCUAUGACCGAACCCAAGUGCACGGCUGCAGACAGCGUCAAAGAUGGCUGAUUAGGUGACAAUCUGACCCUUUAUUGAAUGACCCCUCAUUGAAUGAGGGGUCAGAUGAAGAUGUUUCAAAACAGUAUCUUCUGUAACUUCUAUCUGUGCUGCCUGCCAGCUGGUCAUUGUUUUCACAAUGAGAGGGAGGAAAGGGAAUGGAGGGAGCUUGGUAUCAGGGUUUUUCAGCCCCUGCUGGAGGGUGGGCAGGUGUACUGGAGCCCCCCUCCAGCGCCGGCUGGGAAACCCCUAGAAUGAGCACCCUCUGGUCCCUUUCCCCCCUCCCAUUCUGAAACAGGGACAGCCAGGGAGAGAGGAGGGGACAUUGGUAGGGGAAACUGGCUGGAGGCUGGCAGCCAGCAGCUAGAUUCCCCUCCCCACUGGAACCAGCAGUGAACUGUCGUUUGUUCCAAGAGAUCAUUGUAACUCAGAAUGCGUCUUACAAAGUGUUCUCAAUUACUGUGAGGAGCUGCACUUCUGUCUGCACCCAUUAUGGAAGCAGCCAUGACUCAAAGGGUGAUAAACUGUGCUCAGUACCCUCUAGCAUCUUAGAGUUUUACCACUUUGGGUGAGGGUUAUCUUUGAACCCUUUUGCCUAGCUUGAGCUAUGGUAUUAUUAGUCUGCUCCACAGAGAUAAAGCAACAAAUUUGCAGUCUUUCAGCAUUUCAGGAUGCAUGGCUUCCAGCUCCUUUUCCUCGACCAACUUUCCACCUUCCCAAACUCUUCUGGCCAGGGGCUGUGCUGGCUCCAAGUCAACAUCCUUUCCUGCCCCCAGUGGGUUUGACCCCAGCCCCAUGGUACCAUGCUGCCAGCUGCAAGGAUCCCAGGAGACCUGUUCUGGGCCCCUGGGCUGGGGGCCAGGCACAUGGCCCUCUCUGAGAAGUGGGCCAGACGUAUGGCCUUUGCCCCACCUUGGCAGCUGUCCUGUAACCAAGAGAAUGGGAUGAGGGGGAGGGGCUGGGGCAUGGUCUCCCUCCCCAGCCUUCUGCACUUCUGGGCGGGGAGAUGGGGAAAGGAUUGCCAAGCACUGUGUGUGGCAAGAGCAUAGAGCCUGGGUCCAUGGUCCCAGGUCCAUGCUGUCACCGCAGUUAAUACCCGGUGGCUCUGCAGUUGGAGCAGAGACACUGGGUGGUAAGAGAAUGGAGCCCAGGGUCGCCAGGGCUUCUAGUGACAAGUCACAGUUGUGCAGGUCCUAGAUGGCAUUAAGCCUUAACCUGCAACUGCUCUGAAACUGUUUUAUCUUUAGCACAAUGCAGUACUCCACAGAUUUAGAAUGGUUUAAAGGUAACCUGUAACAGCACCCUGAGAAGGAGGAAUCUCCCGGGCCUCUGAACAGCACUAUGCCUUUUCACCCGCCACAACUAUAAGUCUAAUUCCUGUAGUUUCCCCUACAUUGAAAUGAGACUACCUGUAUCAAGAAGUGAAUUAAUUUUCCAUUUUAAUCAUUGUUCUGAGUCUGUUUUCUAUAGAGAUAUUUAUAUACUUUUUUUCUGAAAACAGAAGUGAAUCUUAUCCCUGAAGGUUAGGGAGACCCUGUGAGACCAAAACAGCAAUUGCAGUGAGAAUUUUCUAUGUCUACCUCUUUUGGCAUGAGGGGCUAGAUCCCAUUCAGGGGCAGGACCAGGGUGGUGGGGGGCUCAGAGUUUCAUUCAUACCAUACUUACACUAUGUAGUACAGUGUCCUGUCUCCCCUGGGCCAGUGGAGUCACUCAAGGUGGGGUGAAAGCAGCGUGUAGGGCCAGAAAAGGGGGACCUGCCUCCUGCUGUUGUCCUUGGCUGACCUAAGUGUGGGGGAGCCCCACAGCCACUUCUUGUGGCUGUGUGGGGUGCCAGGCUUGGCUGGGAACUGUGGUGGUGUUGGGUGGAUUCUCUUUCCCUUUCCUUUUCCCUGCCUGCUCCCCCAUCCCAGGUGUCCCCUGCUAGCUCAGAGGCUCCAUCCACUCCUUGCCUUCUUUCCCCGCUUGAUCUGAGCUGAGGUGUGGAUCUGAUCUGCUUCACCCCCUUUUCAAAUUCCUAGAUUCUCCUAUGUAUUUGAUUAGAUGUCUAAGAACAAUCCUAUUUUACCCUGCUCAUAUUCCUGUCAGGCAUAGGAUUGAAUUUAGACACAGGUUUACCUCACAUCUGGGUUUUCCCAGAUGUGUCCUCUUUUUAGAUCCUCCUAUCUUGGUCUGGGCAGCUUUUUAAAAUAUGAUCAAAUGUCUGGGAUUUUGUUCUGCUCCCGGCUUGCCCCAGCAAGGAGUUGCAACUGGAGGCAGGGAGCACACACAUGUGGCUGGCAUGUAGCCAGCAGGGGAUGGGAGCAGCCGGGCAGCUGGAUGCAGGUAAGUCUGUGGGAGGCAGUGGUUGUGUGUGUAUGUGGUGGGGGGAGGUGGGUCUGGAUCUGCGGCAAGGCGGGGUAGUGCAUGCCCUGGAUUCAUGACCUUCCAGUCGGGGAAGGGGGAGGGGGAGAGGAAGAGACCAGGGAGGGAGCAGUAGGGAGCUGGGUGGCUGGCCCCGUGUCAUUGUGGCCAGUGCCUGUGCUUGCAGGGGCAGGGCUGUGGGUUGGAAGAGAGGGGCACUGGCAGGGCUAUGGGGAGCAGAGGGCUGUGGCUUCUGGGCGAGGGGCACCAGGCAGAGUGGGGAGCCUGUGGCUUGGGAGUAAGGAGCAACAGAAUGGACAGGGGUAGGGCAUUACCAUAUCACUGCCCCCACAGUCAUAUACCCCCCUCCUCCCCACUGGAACUAGAAAUAUGGUAACCCUACACAUAUUAGAUGAGCCAGUGUUUCCAUACAAACAAGCAUGGGACUUGGUUGUCUUUUUUCACAGAAACAAAGCAAUGUAGCCCUAAUCCUGGCUGCAUUUGCGAAUGAAUAGUGAAACAUGGCAGGGAGGGUUCAAAGGUCACAUUGACAGCCACUCUGACUUUGGUUCUUUACAGCUGUUCUCAUUUUUGUUGUCUGCAAGUGGGCCUUCGGAGCUGAUACAACAGCCAAGGUUUACCAGAAGGCAAAUGAACUCCAGUGAUGUACUUCAUAAGACCUGCACCUGACCUGCAAAAUAUGAAGCAAUUCCCAUUCCUACCUGAACCUAACCUGCUUUGCAGAUCACCCGUGGGUACCUGACUCAAUGGAGGAUUCUAAUAGAAAUAAUUUUGUUGUGAGUUUAAUGUGCCAGUUUGGGUGCUUCAUGCCAAAGUGAUACUGAUAGUCUUUAGGAUAUGUAUAAUUCUGGUUAUUUUAAGAUAGACUUUGGAGCUAGCAAUAAUAAGCUUUAUUCAAUAUAGCUGACCAGAGCAAGUUCAUUUUUAUUAAUCUGGAGGGAGAAGUGCUUAUGAGGACUCAUCUGUAUGGAAGUCUAGAAUGAAUGACAAACUGUCAGGUGAAGUGGGCUGGUUAAACAGCCAUCUAUACACAUUCAUUUUAUAUGUUAAUUUAAUUCUCUGAUGAAAGGAGAAUUGUUUAAAUUGGCUGGAUCAGCCUUCUCACAAAUCCUUGUUAGAAACUAUCCUGUGGUCCCAAUUUCCUGGUUCAGCAGGGAUUGUUUGUGCAUUGCCAGCUCGGCGGAGGAACUUGACAAAGAACAUCAGAAACUGAUUCACAGGUGGUUCUAAUCACUCCAGUUAAAGGGAAGCACAAAGACAGUUGGGCAUGUCUCAAAUGUACCUUGUUUCUUCGAAGUCUUGGGCAAGAUGCCUGAGUGUCUUGUAACUGAAAGUGCCAGCACUAGUGUUUGAGUUGCCAAGACAAUAGAAAUGCACUAGAGGGUACCUGUUUGCUUGUGGCAAAUAGUCCUUUUUCCCCCCGCAUCUAAACUGUAUUGGCAUUCACUCCUCAUGGAGAAAAACCUAAAUAGUCUCACAACGCUGACAGCAGUAGUUCUGCCAUCAGCAGCUUAGUUUCCUCAGUAGCAGAAGACACUACAUUUUGUCUGCCAUAGAUUUAUUCUUGAGUUAACUGAAAACAUUUUAAAGGACAUGCAUUAGAAAUUAACAUGUAAACGUGUACACCAUAAACACUUGUAAACAUGGGGACUUCUGCACUUUUAAUAUAAGUUUCUAAUGCUCACAAGCAGUAGGGCACAUUUGACAGAAGUGUAUAGUUAUCAGCAGAGUUCCCAGUAAAUAGUCAAAUACUGUGAGCAUAAAGGGAUCGGAUUUUAACCUGCUGUAUAUCAGCGUCUGUGCAUUGACUUAAAUGGAACGUUGCUGAUUUACACUAGUUGAAAUUCUGACUCAUUAUUUUUACUUAUUAUGAAUGACCUUUGCUGCUUAGUCAUUAUGGUGUUUUCCUUUGCUACUCAUGGAUUAAUAAAGGCUCUCAAUAUGCUGUGGAGAUAAAAACAGCCAUAAACAGUGGAGUUAGCUGAGACUCAGAAAUUCUAUUCUGCAGGAAGUUCUGAUAGUUGGAAAAUAAUUAUGUAAUGAAUCACACCAAAAAGCUGAUUCCUUCCCCCUCACCCCCCUGAAAUUUUAAAAAGUUUUCCAUUUGGAACCAUCAACCUCCUUCAUUAAACUGUGUUGAAUUUUUUUUUAGAUCAAAUGUAAAAGAAAGUUUAAAAUGUAUCAUUUAAAUUGAUAUUGAUUUUUCUAUUACUAUUAAAUGAAAUGGUAAUAUCAUACAGGUGGAAAUAACAGAAAUGAUAUUCAAAAUGAAAUGUUUUGAUGUUAUCAAGAUUAGAGUUUAAAAGGUUCAUUUUUCUUUCUUGUUAAAAUGUAUGAAAUAUGAUGUCUGAGAAUGAAGAGUUCCAGUUUCCAUUGGUUGAAUUGUUGAAACUUCUGAGAUUUUGAACCCAAAUCUUCAGAAGCAACAGACAGAAACCUAGGCCACAAAGUCAUUAGACAGUGAGCUAAAGGCUGAUCCUAGCUCUGCCUACUCCUCUCUUUCCUUAUUAAAUUCUCAGUGAGGAACCAGUAAACCUUCCUGUUAGACCCCGACUCCAUAUGGUGCCCAUUAACUAGGGAGACGACAAUCCAAUUGCCCAUGGAUCCUGUUACUCAUUAGCCAGAGCAAGCAGGGAGCAAACACCAGCACACAUUGCUCACAAGAGCUUUAUUUAGAAUGGAGACAGCUUUGGAUUGGCUCCCAAAAAACCAACAAACCAGGGAGCCACCCUGAACAAUAGUUCUUUUCACAUUUUAUACACUUUGGUUCAUACUAAUUAACAUUCUCUUGCCUUCAUCCCUCCUCCUGUUCCACUCAUUUCUUCUCCCAUUUCAAGCUCCUCCUCUGUUUACUGUUUAAUUCAUUAGCAUAAAAUUGCCUAUGCAUUUCAUUCAUUUACUUGCCUCUCUGCUAAGAGCACAUGUGUAAGGCCAUGAACUCGGGUACUCUUGGUCACUUGCUGGUUCUUUCUUGUUUUUUGCUGAUUUCAGCACCAUCUCCAAGGUCUGGCUUCUGUCUUAUCUCCUGACAAUAGUUGGUGGGCUGCAUCUUGUUCUUCUUAUACAAGGAGUCAUGUAUUCUGCACACUAUUCCAUUGUUAAAGAAACUACUUGCUUAAACAUUUGCAAGGUUGGUCUUAAUAUAUCAUCCUGCCUUGUGACCAGAAGCUCUGCUGAGACACAGGUUAAAGCCUUGUUCCAGCUGCAGAUUCAAUGCUCCUCAAUAAUCCAAAUUAUUGUUAACCUAACAUUUCCCACUUCCAGUUGUGCCUUGUCCAAGCAACAGCAUUGUUAGGUGUUGCUGUCUUGGAUUUUCCUGCUUAUUCCUCAUAGGCGGAGAAAGAAAAAAUUUGGGGGGUUGGGGCUGAGUGUGCACAUGGGAAAGUGCGGGGAGUGGGGAAAGGUACCAGACCGGAACAGGGCCAGCUUCAGCUGCACUACUGAGCUGGAGGGCUCUUUGCCUCCAUACCUCCCUGCUCCCACUGCUUCAAAAGCAGCAGGCUCCACCAUGUGCAUCGCGCCACCGGGUGGGCUAGGUGCGAGGCACAUGGCACCGCACUGUGCUGCUUUCAAAGGAGCAAUGGCAAGGUACAGAGGCAAUGAGCAGAGCACAGCUCUCAGCUGCAGCCCACCCUUGCCCAGUACAAAGAUUAGGGGGCCACGUGCUCCCCACCUCCCCUUGGCUACCUGGUGCCACACCUCUGGAGGAGCUGCUGGGCUCCAAUUGUCCCACAAACCAGCCCAGCCAGGGCCCCAAUUCACUGUGAAUGGGGCCCUGGCCGGGCUGGGUUGUGGGGCAAUCAGAGCCUGGCGGCUCAUCCAGGGGCACAGCAUGCUGGAGCCAAGAGAGGGAUGAAACUCUCCCUCCCUGCCUUGGCUCACCGCAGUGUGCACAGAGGUGGGAGCUGCCUGCCCACACCCCUGAACAAGUUGCCAGGCUCCAAUUGUCCUAUGACCCAGCCUGGCCAGGCCUCCAUUCAUGGCGAAUGGGGCUCUGGCUGGGUUGGGUCAUGGGACAAUCCUCACAGUGCAACAGGGAGCAGAGCAGUGACAAGGGUGAUUGAUUCACCCUGCCCAUACCCCACUGUCUCCUGCACUCUGUAGGUCUUGAUCUGACCCUCUUCCUCCCUCCAUCCCCCAAGCCCAGGGUGAUAAAGAAAGAAGAUUAAAAAAAACUUACCUGCCUGUGUGUGGCUGGGGUGGCUGCGAGUGCAUAGGGUAUCCGAGCGUGCCUGCCCCUUCCUCCCUGCUGCAGCAGCCCAUGGCCAGGCUGCCCUAAGGUUAUGCCCGCCGCUGCCCUCUUUUUGGGGUGACUGAGCCCUGUUUGUCCUCCCUUCCGCUGCCUAUGUUGUUCCUGUUUUUCCUACUUAUCUUGACCACAACUUCAUCUCAACAUUUGACUUGAUAGGCGGACUAGAUUGAUACUUGACUUUGACCUUGGCUUUCAGGUAGGUAAACUUCCAGUAGUACAAUCUACUCAGAUUGGCCACCUACAUGUCAGUUGACUCCAGUGUAAUUUUUUUCAGUGGAAAACACCUCUGUUGAAAAACCUUUAAUGAGUGAUGUGGCUAGCCUUUGUAUACAGAAUUUUAGAUUGAAUGGAAAUUACAACAUCUUAAGGAAGAGUUGCAUGGGCAGUAGGAAAAGAAUGGAAACAGAUUCCUCCAAUAAAGGAAGCAUAAACAUUAACCACACAGAAGAACCCAACCAACCAGAAAAAAAACACCCUACUCUCCCCAUUUAUCUGUGUAUUCAUUUCUCAUCAAAAAUUGUUACUAUAUGGGAAUAUUGUGUGUUUUAUAGUUAGCAAAUGGGUUUUACUUACCAGGCUAAUGACUUGAACUGAAAUGUAUUAAAAGAUAUGGAAACUUUA